GGAAAGUCUUGAGAUAGAAGUGAGAAUAUCACUUCCUGUUUGACAAAUCAAAUUUGAAGAGAUCAUCACAAGUACACUGAGAUGCAGCCACAUUCAACUUGGAUAUAACAGAAAUAAGGUCAGUAAUGCAGGGCUAAAGUUUGCUCCUCACCCUCAACUCUUUGUAUUUGAAAACUGACAUGAACCUGGUUACUGUGGUUUGUGGUUUAUCUGGUUUGUUUUGUGUUUUGUUCUGUUUAUCUUCACAGGGAACCGCAGCAGCAGCAGGCCUUCAGGAACCAUUUCCAAAAACAGCUGAUUCUUGGUGAAAUGUUAAUUUAUAUCCAAGUUAAUGCUCACUUUUUCAUCACCACAGUCAUUACUUUCUGCUAUGGGCAGCCUUUUACACUGCAGGCUUGGACUGUAUAAAACUAAGUAUCACUGACAUCACCAAAUGGAUUCUGGGAGUCAAACAAUCGCAGCCAAUAUAUAAGAAAUGCUGACUACUGAUGGGACCUCCUCAACAUUUGGACUCAAGUAGACACUGUUUUUUGCUCCUCCACAUUUUUACCUCCUCCAGAUGAUUUGGAUCAAAGUUUUGAAGUUGCCCAACAUGGAAAUAUUCUGACAACCUGCCAAAGAAUUGUGCAUAAAUAAAGUACUUGAGCAAAAA